CUGAUGUGCAGAGCCAGAACAAAUACAAGGAGGACGGGAAGAAGAGCCGCUCUCAGAGUUUAUACUCUCAGCUCCCAGAAACAGCAGAGACUCAAUUUGCUAAGACUGUGUCUGAGCUGCAGAGUGAGAUGAGAUACAAAGAAGCGGGAAAGAAAGGAACGACGAGCUGUUUGUACUCGACUCUACCCGAGACUCUGGAGACUCAACACGCUAAAGA